GUUGAACGCUGGCGGCAUGCCUUACACAUGCAAGUCGAACGGUAACAGGUCUUCGGAUGCUGACGAGUGGCGAACGGGUGAGUAAUACAUCGGAACGUGCCUAGUAGUGGGGGAUAACUACUCGAAAGAGUGGCUAAUACCGCAUGAGAUCUACGGAUGAAAGCAGGGGAUCGCAAGACCUUGUGCUACUAGAGCGGCCGAUGGCAGAUUAGGUAGUUGGUGGGAUAAAAGCUUACCAAGCCGACGAUCUGUAGCUGGUCUGAGAGGACGAUCGGCCACACUGGGACUGAGACACGACCCAGACUCCUACGGGAGGCAGCAGUGGGGAAUUUUGGACAAUGGGCGAAAGCCUGAUCCAGCAAUGCCGCGUGCAGGAUGAAGGCCUUCGGGUUGUAAACUGCUUUUGUACGGAACGAAAAGCCCCGGGUUAAUACCCUGGGGUCAUGACGGUACCGUAAGAAUAAGCACCGGCUAACUACGUGCCAGCCGCCGCAGUAA
rnacentral:rRNA from 1 species